rnacentral:rRNA from 1 species
CCUACGGGAGGCUGCAGUGAGGAAUAUUGGUCAAUGGACGAGAGUCUGAACCAGCCAAGUAGCGUGAAGCAUGACUGCCCUAUGGGUUGUAAACUUCUUUUAUAUGGGAAUAAAAUGUUCCACGUGUGGGAUUUUGUAUGUACCAUAUGAAUAAGGAUCGGCCAACUCCGUGCCAGCAGCCGCGGUAAUACGGAGGAUCCGAGCGUUAUCCGGAUUUAUUGGGUUUAAAGGGAGCGUAGGUGGAUUGUUAAGUCAGUUGUGAAAGUUUGCGGCUCAACCGUAAAAUUGCAGUUGAAACUGGCAGUCUUGAGUACAGUAGAGGUGGGCGGAAUUCGUGGUGUAGCGGUGAAAUGCUUAGAUAUCACGAAGAACUCCGAUUGCGAAGGCAGUUCACUGGACUGCAACUGACACUGAGGCUCGAAAGUGUGGGUAUCAAACAGGAUUAGAUACCCCAGUAGUC